rnacentral:rRNA from 1 species
UACGAAGGGGGCUAGCGUUGCUCGGAAUCACUGGGCGUAAAGCGCACGUAGGCGGAUUGUUAAGUCAGGGGUGAAAUCCUGGAGCUCAACUCCAGAACUGCCUUUGAUACUGGCGAUCUCGAGUCCGGGAGAGGUGAGUGGAACUGCGAGUGUAGAGGUGAAAUUCGUAGAUAUUCGCAAGAACACCAGUGGCGAAGGCGGCUCACUGGCCCGAUACUGACGCUGAGGCACGAAAGCGUGGGGAGCGAUCCGG